UACGUAGGGGGCAAGCGUUGUCCGGAAUCAUUGGGCGUAAAGAGCGUGUAGGCGGCCAGAUAAGUCCGCUGUGAAAUCUCGAGGCUCAACUUCGAGCUGUCGGUGGAGACUGUCUGGCUAGAGUCCGGAAGAGGAGAAUGGAAUUCCUGGUGUAGCGGUGAAAUGCGCAGAUAUCGGGAAGAACACCAACGGCGAAGGCAGCUCGCUGGGACGGAACUGACGCUGAGGCGCGAAAGCGUGGGGAGCGAACAGG
rnacentral:rRNA from 1 species